UAAUACGUAGGGGGCGAGCGUUGUCCGGAAUUAUUGGGCGUAAAGCGCGCGCAGGCGGUCCUUUAAGUCUGGUGUUUAAGUGCGGGGCUCAACCCCGUGACGCACUGGAAACUGGGGGACUUGAGUGCAGGAGAGGAAAGCGGAAUUCCACGUGUAGCGGUGAAAUGCGUAGAGAUGUGGAGGAACACCAGUGGCGAAGGCGGCUUUCUGGACUGUAACUGACGCUGAGGCGCGAAAGCGUGGGGAGCAAACAGGAUUAGAUACCCUGGUAGUCCACGCCGUAAACGAUGAGUGCUAGGUGUUGGGGGGGUCCACCCCUCGGUGCCGAAGUUAACACAUUAAGCACUCCGCCUGGGGAGUACGGUCGCAAGACUGAA
rnacentral:rRNA from 1 species